rnacentral:pre_miRNA from 1 species
AGUGAUAUAGCUGGGUCAAAUGUUGGUUUCAUUCCAAGUUUUCUGAGGAAUCUCCAUAAUGCUUUCCAUAGUGGCUUCACCAAUUUGCAGUCCCACCAGCAAU